AUACAUGUCUUCUUCCGGCAACUCAAGCAUCCCUCUGAUCACAUUCAGUCCAAGAUUGCUAUUGAACUCUUGCUCAUCAUCAAUCACGUGAGCGAACCCUUUGUCUAUCCCAAACUCCACGUGGAAGUAAGGAAAAUUCUUAGGUAUCGAGUUCCUAAGACCUUUCACGCUAGUGUCGAUGAGCUUCUUCGCGUUGUGCUGACUCCACUCGCUCUCCUUCUCUGAAAGUCUUCUAACUCCCGCUAAAAAUAUUGAAAUCUUCUGGGUGACUUACAAGUAAGUCGUCUAGUAAGUCUUCUGAUCGAAAAUAUUUAAACUUAUUGGAAUUUUUGUCUCCAUGUAUAAAGAAAAAUUUACACAUUAUUUCUCCUCCUCUCAAAUGGCUGCAGCAAAAAUAGUAUGUUCCUCAUUCUAAAACUCUCCAACCUCUCUCUAAUCUCUUUGAACUUAUAAACACCAAACUUUAUUGUUUUUGUCUCAUGUCUUUCUCACUAGUUUAUCUUGUUUUGCAGGUUUUUCAUCACAUGGUUCUCAUCUUCCACUCAUUUAAAGGUAGGUUUACUAAUUUUAGAUAUGUAUUUUUGUGUGUUCUAUAAAGGUAGAUCUUUCUAAUCUUCCACUCAUUUUCUCUGUUUUUAAGCCAUUUGAACGUUUUUGGAGAUGCAUGUUUUUUCAGAUCUAGAUUUGGAUAUGCAGGUUUUUCAGAUCUGGAAGACUUCUGAGCUAGAAGACUUCCAGACGACUUCCAGGAAGUCUUCCAGACGACUUCCAGGAAGUCUUCUGACGGAGUCUUCUCCCAUGUCUCCCUUUCAUAAUAGAUCUGAGCGUUUUGGUAAGUUUUUAUGUCUGAUUUUUCUUCAUUUGGUAACCUCUUGUUGCAUAAAGUUCAUACAUUUUCCCAAACUAAAACUCUCCAAACCCACUCUAAUCUCUUUGACUUGAAAACACUAAACUUUAUAUGAAUUUUUCAUUUUUGUCUCAUGUAUUUCUCAAUAAUCUAUCUUUUUGUUGCAUAUUUUUAACUAGAUGGUUCUCAUCUUCCACUUGGAUAUGUACUUUGUAUGUUCUAUAAAAGUAUGUCUAUCUAAUUUUCUACUUAUUUUUUCUGUUUUUAAGCCAUUUGAACGUUUUUUGAUAUGAUAUGCAGGUUUUUCAGAUCUGAGUAUGAUAUACAUGUUUUUCAGAUCUGGAUCAGACUUUGGAAGACCUAUGGGAAGUCUUCUCGGAAGUCUUCUAAAAUAUAAUGUGCUAGAAGACUUCCUUUCCAGACGACUUCAAAGAAGUCAUCUGGACGACUUCCAGGAAGUCUUUUGACGGGGUCUUCUUCCAUAUCAAGUGGAGUCUAAGCUUGUCUUUGUAGAGGAAUGAUCUAUAAUAGUUUUGUUUGUGGUAUGUUUUGUGAUUUGCAUGUGUACUCCUUUAGUUGCGACUUUUUUUGUAAAUUUGUUAAGUAACUUUAAGAUAUGUUUAUUUAAUUUUUAAAAGUGUUAAGUAACUUCAAGAAUAUCAACUAACAUGGUUUAAUGUGUCUUCUCAGAUCAUAAGAUAUACUUUUUACUUAUGUAUGUAGAAGUCUUCUCAAUUAGUUAGAAACUUUACUAAUCAUGAAUGUUGGUAACCUCGUAAAUAUCACCAAUUCAGUUAUAAUUUUCAUUCAGUAGCCUCAAUAUUGACUAAUAUACAUGAAUUAACAAAAACAAAUUAAAAAAAAUCUUUAUAGUUUUAGAGAAAAAAAAAGUUUAUUAAACAAUGACGCAGACGACUUCCAUGGAGGUCGUCUGGUAGACUUCUAGAAAAUCGUCCAUUUAGGUUAGUUUUGCAAUUGAUUUUUAACCUAGACGACUUACAUGGAAGUCGUCCAUCUUUGUUUGUUAAAAAAAACUCGAGACGACUUACGGUUAGUUUUGCAUUUGACCGGAUUGUGUCAGAAAUUUGACUUUUCCUGGACGACUUAUACGUAAGUCGUCCAAUAGAAAAUUUAAAAAACAAUAUUUUGUUAUACCUAGACGACUUACAUAGAAGUUGUCUCCGGUUAGUUUUGCAAUUGAAAAAUAAAACAAAAAAAAUUAUUUUUUUCUAGACGACUUACACGGAAGUCCGACGACUUACAUGGAAGUUGUCCAAGAUAAGCAAGGUUUGACCAGAAUCUCGGAAUAAAAUCAUGGACGACUUCAAUGUAAGUCAUCGGAUGGACGACUUCCGUGUAAGUCACGGAAGUCGUCUAGAAAAAAAUAAUUUUUUUUGUUUUAUUUUUCAAUUGCAAAACUAACCUGAGACGACUUCCAUGUUAGUCGUCUAGGUAUAACAAAAUAUUGAUUUUUUUAAUUUUCUACUGGACGACUUCCACGUAAGUCGUCCAGGAAAAGUCAAAUUUCUGACACAGUUCGGUCAAAUGUAAAACUAACAUGUUUACCCUAGACGACUUACAUGGAAGUCGUCUCGGAUUUUUUUUUUAACAAACAAAGAUGGACGACUUCCAUGUAAGUCGUCUAUAAAAACACAUUUAAAAGUCAAUUGCAAAACUAACCUCUGCAUUGACCAGAAGAUUUCCAUGUAAGUCGUCUACAGGUAAGUCGUCUGGACGAACAGAUGUGGGAAAAAAAACUGAUUUCAUAGUUUCAACCAGUGAGAUAAAUUGUUUAGCACACAUAAGUCUUCUCCAAGCACCCAGAAUCUCAAACAUAAGUGACCCACUAAGAAUCGUAAGCUUCAAUGGCUCUAUGAACCAUAAAAAAAUUAGAAUCAAAAUCUUGGGUUUUUUGGAUGAAUAUGGAGAGAAAGUGAAAGAGAUGUUGUUUUUAGUUCAUAAGAAUUAAGAAAAAAAGAGUGUAAAUCGAUUUUUAGGUACAUUAAGAGCUUCAAAUUGGUUGUUCAUAGUGGUUGGUGUAUUGAUGGCAAUGACAAUAUUGUGAAUACUUGAGGAAGAUGAGGGUGAUAGAGUAAAAUAUGCAUUUUCAAAAAAAAAAAAAUGAUGGCAUUUUCGUGAAUAAUCUGAACUUUGGGGAUGAAAGAGACAAGUCAAAGUUCCAAAAAAAACAUGGAUUAGUUUUGUGUUUGACUUCAAGUUUUGAGUCUUAUUUGCAAAAACCUUUCUAUUUAAUAACCACAAGACCUUAAAGUAUAGACAAAAACAGAGCUCAAACAAAACCUGGCAUGGCUUUGGAAUGUCUCUAGACAAAGACAACCUACGUCUUAAAAAAUGUCCCACAGCUUAUAAAAGUCUAUCGAGAAAGACUAUGUAUCAGUUUAGACUUGUUGGAUGGUAAAAACAACUAAAUAUUUGCUGUAUAGAAAAAAGACCAACGGCUCAGAUAAAUCAACUGCUUCAAGAUUCUUGACAAAGAUUAUGAAUCAAACAAAGAUUCAUAUCUCCACACGGCUUAGAAGUAUCUUGAGAAAGAAUAUAGAUGGAAAAAUAACCCACGGCUAAAAUGAAAUAUAUAUCUAUGGAUGGAAAACCGAUUUUUUACUCUGCAACACGGCUUUAAAUAGAAAUUUUCAACACAUAAACUAUGAACCACAAGGAUCAAAGAACUGUUUCUGCUUGACAACCAUCACAAGGUUUAAAAGUAUACAAAGACUAUAAGUUAGAUGGAAAUAAUGACCAACUCUAAAGACAAAGGCGAUGGAAGAAUGGCGAACUCAUAUUCUGAAAUCAGUCUUAAACAGAGACUACCAAUGGCUUAAAGAAUCAUAACGCAAAGAUUAUUUACAAAAAAAUGAAUCUAAAAAUGGGAAAAGACGACCAAUAGCUUAAAGAUGUCUUAAGAAAAAGACUCUGAAAAAGUCCUUAGAUGGGGAAAAAUAGUAGCAAUGGCUUAAGGCUUGUUUCAUGGGGAAAAAUAACACAAGCAAUGGCUUAAAAGUCUUAAGGCAAAAACUAUGAAUUGAUUAUAGAUUCUUUACUUGGUUUUGCCCACGGCUUAAGUCCUUGAUGGAAAAGGUACAAACGUCACAAAAAAAAGUCUCUAGACAAAAACAAUAUGGGUUUGGUUUUUAGACAUGCUGGAUGGAAAGAAUGAGAAGCUACUUUUUUUUAAAAGUCACCAGAUGGAAAAACUAUCUGAAAUCAUUUGUGCUGGAUAAAGAAAAAACGAUGUUAAGACAGACUAUGAUUCGGUUUAUAUUUUGGUGGGUGGAAAGAGAUGACCAAUGUCUGAAAUAAUUACACAGAAAAAAUAAGUUAUUAUAGAAAGACUAUGAAUCGGUUUUAGAUUUGUAGCCUUUGUCACCACGGAUUACGGUCUUAUGACAAAGAGUAUAAAUGAUUCGUUGGAUGGCUAAUACGACCAACAAUUUCAAGGACUACGAAUCAAAAAUGGAUUGUUUACAAAUACAUGGCGAAGUAAAGAUCUUUUUUUUGUCAGGUAUGUGCUUCAGAAGGUGUUCAAAACCAAAUUGUUAGAGAUUUUGAGGAGAUUUCAAGUGUAGCAGACUUCUGUGAAAGGUAAGUGCUUUUCAAACUUGCUUGUAAUUAGUUUCUGAAAUUCACAAGUAGGAGAAACAUAUGCGAAAUCAAGAUUUUCAUUUCCACAAGACAGACAGAUUCAAGGUAUGUCCUUGGUGAUUAUUCCAAAAUUUUGCAAUGACAUCCUCACAAUCUAAUUGGUUGUUAUUUGUAAUUUUAGAAUUAUGCAUCAAGAUUCUUACAUUUAUGAUUAUUAUGUAUUUUUUUUUCUUUAAAAUGUGUAUCAAUUGACUUAACUUUUAUAAUAUAGCUUGGAGAUAUUUCAGUUAAAGUAUUAGACUAGUGUCUCUCACUUUCUCUUAACAUAGUUUGAUUGAAACUUGGUUUCUUUGUCAAAACAGAGUUCAUGGUCUUUUCUACUUCAAUGUCUCUACUCACGUUUUUAGAUCAACAGUGCAAAAACUCAUAGGAAAGUGAUGAAAUUUCUAUACAAAAACGGAAGUAUUGUUGUCUUUAGAUGUGAUGAUUAAGUUUUUGGUUACCUUUCUAACUGAGGCUGAAGUUCGAUGCAAUCUUCUUGUGUGUCGGUUUCCAUGUCAGCCUCCACGUUUCCUUCCUUUUUGUGGUGCCUUGUAAACAGUUUCCUAAGACUUGAGUUUUAUUAAGGUGUUGUUGACUUGACUCCCAUGAUCUCUCCCACUUAAAAAUGAGCUAUAUAUUUUUUCUAAUACUUAUUUUUAAAUGUAUCUAUUAGUGAAUGAAUAUUAAAAUUAAUUAUUGUACAUUAUUUUAUCACAUAAAUUAUGCUAGCAACAUAAAAUAUUCUAAAGAAUGUCAAAGAUCUUUACUGGCUUUUGCUUCUCCUGAUACUCCUUUAGGAAUUAGGAGUAGCCGACGACACAUCUAGCACUCUUGUUGUUGCAUCAAAUGUAGCUUCAUUUACUUACAACUUCUCCAGUACAAGCAGCACCAACAACUCCUUUUGUCACUACAACUGAACUCACUACUACCAGUACUGUGUCUCUAAACACCGAAACUCCUCGUCUUUGGAUCCUCUACUAAUUUGAUAACAUUCUCUGCUCCUAUAUCAAAUUCAUUCACCAAUGAACAUAAUAAAUAUUUGACGACUUGAGUGCAUCUGAGGCGAUUCCUCGUUAGGCAACUACUGUAUAUGGUUCUAAGAUCCUACUGCUAACGCUAAAACACUUGAAUGCCAUAACGAUAUUUGAACUGCAAGGGGAUCUCUAGCCACUUCUCCUAACUUCAUUUUGUGCACUUUCCACCCAAAAAGAAAACGUCAGAACUCAUCCAAUCUAAACUUCGGACUCUAAACCGAUUCUUUCAAGUAUGUUUCCAAUUCAAAAAGUAACUUUAUAAUAGAGAAAGAUUGUUCAGAAAAACACUGCAACUUUUUCAAGAUGAUCAAAGCAACUUGUCUUCAAGAAAUCUUUCUGUUUACAAAAAGAUACAUUAUAUGAUGAGCUACCGCCCAAACCAUAGAUCGUCUAGUCAAGCUGUUUCGUCCAAUCAAAGUGUUCCCAUUGGCGUGCAAAGCUCACAACCGCUUUCUUCUGGCUCUCCACCGACUCAUGCCUUCUUUUUCUAUACAUGUCUUCUUCCGGCAACUCAAGCAUCCCUCUGAUCACAUUCAGUCCAAGAUUGCUAUUGAACUCUUGCUCAUCAUCAAUCACGUGAGCGAACCCUUUGUCUAUCCCAAACUCCACGUGGAAGUAAGGAAAAUUCUUAGGUAUCGAGUUCCUAAGACCUUUCACGCUAGUGUCGAUGAGCUUCUUCGCGUUGUGCUGACUCCACUCGCUCUCCGCUUCAUCGAUCGCCUUCUUGAAGUAAAGAGGUCCUUCUUUCGCUAUCUCCUGAGGGAUCGGGAU
rnacentral:lncRNA from 1 species